rnacentral:rRNA from 1 species
UGGUUGAUCCCGCCGGAGGUUACUGCUAUCGAUGUUCGACUAAGCCAUGCGAGUCGAAUGUCCGUAAGGACAUGGCGAACUGCUCAGUAACACGUGGACAACCUGCCCUUUGGACAGGGAUACCCCUGGGAAACUGGGACUAAUCCCUGAUAAGUCUCCGUAGCUGGAAUGCUCGGAGACGGAAAGCUCCGGCGCCACAGGAUGGGUCUGCGGCCUAUCAGGGUAGUAGUGGGUGUAGAGUACCUACUAGCCUACGACGGGUACGGGUUGUGAGAGCAAGAGCCGGGAGAUGGAUUCUGAGACACGAAUCCAGGCCCUACGGGGUGCAGCAGGCGCGAAAACUUUACAAUGCGGGACACCGCGAGGGGGGGACCUCGAGUGCUGGCAUACAAUGCUGGCUGUCCAGCUGCCUAAAUAGCAGUUGAUAGCAAGGGCCGGGCAAGACCGGAUGCCAGCCGCCGCGGUAACACCGGCGGCUCGAGUGGUAACCGCUAUUAUUGG